CAUAUAUAUAUAUAUGUAUAUAUAUAUAUAUACAUAUAUAUAUAUAUGUCUGAUACAUAUAUAUCAGAAGAGUUAGCUCAAAGUUAAAAAUAUUUGCCUCUAUGGUUGGGGGGAAAGUUUGAGGGUUAUAGCAUUUUGAUAUACUUUGAGUGUUUGCAUUACUUUGCUAGAAAUAUAUUUUUUAAAGCAAGUUCCCCCAACGCCCUCUGCAAAAAAAAAAAAAAAAAAUCAAUAUGGCAGAUUUCAGAAAUAGUGACCUUUCCUUACCCAUGCCAGUAGAAUCCAUCAACAAUAAUGAUCUAUCUAGUCAGUCUCAUGUCACAAAGAGGGUCUUAGGGAUGCUCUUCUUGGAGUUCUAUAGUUAGAUAGAGGCUAGGAUGGAAUCCAUGUGUGGGCAAAUUACCUUGGUUCUCUAGUCUCUUGUUUCAUCUGUAAAACAGGCACAAUAAUAGUCCUAACCUCUUCAGGCUGCUGAAGACUGAACAGAUGAUCUAGGUAAUGUGCUUAGCAUAGUCUCUGGUUCAUGAGUUCUUAAUAAGAAGUACUUGAUAAUAUCACUGUUAGCAGCAUUCAUCAGUCUCAAGGUGGAAACCAUCAUACAUUUAAGAUCUGGAACUAGCAGAAUCCAGAGCUUUUGACUUCAGGUUCUGAUUUUAGCAUGUGCAGAUGGAUAAACUGAGUUGUAACCCCAUGCAUCUUAUAUCAAGAGGACCAGCCACUUGGGGAUCCUCAAGAAUAUAGGUGCCCUCUCCCCUCUCCAACCUGUUUUCCCGUCACCUCCUCCUAACUUUCUUUCAUUGGGGUUUAUUUCCAAAUUCUCCCACCAGGUAUCUUAAGUGUUUUCUCCACGUGGAAAUGCUUUUCAGUAAAAUGAAAAUGACUGAACUUUUUAUAAAGUGAAGUUUAGAGUAUCCCUUCUGGGACUCUAUUUUUUCCCUUGAAAUUCUAGAUCAAAAUAUCAAAAAGGCCAGAGUGGGGUCCAUAGAAGAGCAGAAGCAAUGAGUUGGAAGAACUUCUGUGCACCUCUAUUAGUCCCGCUACAUGGAAUCCUUAGGCCCUUAGAGGCUUAAGAUCUAGGUUUCAUAAUGAAGGACUCCAAUGAAAGAAUGAAAGAAUCUCUGAAGUGCUGAUUGGCUGUUUCUGGAACUUGGCCCAAGUUCCUACUACAGAUGUGCCACGUCCACUUUUCUCAGAAUUCAAGUCUCCUGGUUGGUUUUUUUUUUCUCAUCCAAGAAUCUAAGAAGAGUCCAUAAAGAAGGCUGACAACAAAUGAAUGGAGAAAACACAAGCCCAAAGCCUGCAGCACAGCCAGGGACCCUCUGUGAGCUGAGUCUGUGAGUUAGGGACCAGCUGUCUUCUCCAUGAAGCCUGCCCUGAUUCUCCCCAGGGGGAAGGCUGGCCCCCUUUUCCAAACUCCCACUACAUUUUGUCCAAAUGGUGUUGGAAGCCACUGGGACUCCCCAAGAACAAGAUCCAAGUUGAAGGCACCUUUUCCACCCCGGCCAGUGGACAUGGAAGGAGUGCCGCACACACCUGUCCUGAAUGCAAGAGCAGCAGCCGAGGAAACACAGGCCCAGAGGGAAAGUGGCUUUCCCAAUCCCACGCGGCAAGGCAGAGAUGGAUCCAUCCAACUCUCUCCUCCCAGCCAGGGCUUAGCGACAACACAGCUACAGGGGCCUGAGAUGCUCAGAGGCCUGGUCCUCUGGCUGGUGGAGCCUUGGAGGCAGUAGUGAAGAUCCCUGGAAGAGGGAGGCCAUGAAGAGGGAUGCAGAUACCUGGCAAGCCCACCUCCCUUCUAUGCCACCUGCCAGCCUUCUCUGACAUUCCCAAACCAGGGACCAACACUGCCAAUCAGGGAAGAUUUACAUGCAUUUAAUUAUGCUCAAAAGCUGAAGUGGCGGGAGGAGUGGUGAACAAGGGAGAUGAGAUCAUCAGGACCCAAAAUGAUAUCAUCAGGAGCAUAGACUGAAUCCAAACAAGAAGCAAUUUAACUGGGAAAAUUUAACUUCCUGCCCCACAGUGUUCCCGUACAAACACUAGGACUACAAAAUGUACACCAACUGCUGGUGAGAGAGAAAUGUGGCGUUAGAGAAUGCUGUUAGCUGCUAUUUCCCAGAACUACUCUUUGAUAGGGCUGUAGAGAGAGUUCCAGGGGAAAGCAACCAACAACCACAUCAUAUGCAAACAAGGGAAGGAGCCAGGGAUUUUGGGCUGGGAGGAGAAGGCUUUAGAGGCCAUCUCAACUGGUCUUCUCACACUGAAAGGGCCAUGAAAAGUACAAGUCUGCUAAUUCUCCAGAACACUGGCUUUCAAGGCUGCUUGGCUGUUACCUACAGUAAGAAUUGUAUGUCAUAUCUCAAUGCAGAAUAUUUGUAAACACCCACAUGUAACUGAAAUAAGCAUUCCAGAAAAUAUUAUUGA